UUACGGCCAUAUCACGUUACAACACCGAUUCUCGUACGAUCAUCAUAGUUAAGCAAUACCAAGCCUAGUUAGUACUUAGAUGGGUGACCGCUUGUGAAUAUAAGAUGCUGUAA